UGAGUAACACGUGAGUGACCUGCCUUUUAGACUGGAACAACUUACCGGAAGGUGAGCUAAUGCCGGAUGAGUUAUAUAAGUGCAUGUUUAUAUAGGAAAAGUUGGGGAGACCUGACGCUGAAAGAUGGACUCGCGUCCCAUUAGCUAGUUGGUAGGGUAAUGGCCUACCAAGGCGACGAUGGGUAGCCGGCCUGAGAGGGUGGCCGGCCACACUGGGACUGAGACACGGCCCAGACUCCUACGGAAGGCAGCAG
rnacentral:rRNA from 1 species